rnacentral:rRNA from 1 species
GUGGGGAAUAUUGCACAAUGGGCGCAAGCCUGAUGCAGCCAUGCCGCGUGUAUGAAGAAGGCCUUCGGGUUGUAAAGUACUUUCAGCGAGGAGGAAGGCAUUAAGGUUAAUAACCUUGGUGAUUGACGUUACUCGCAGAAGAAGCACCGGCUAACUCCGUGCCAGCAGCCGCGGUAAUACGGAGGGUGCAAGCGUUAAUCGGAAUUACUGGGCGUAAAGCGCACGCAGGCGGUCUGUUAAGUCAGAUGUGAAAUCCCCGGGCUCAACCUGGGAACUGCAUUUGAAACUGGCAGGCUUGAGUCUUGUAGAGGGGGGUAGAAUUCCAGGUGUAGCGGUGAAAUGCGUAGAGAUCUGGAGGAAUACCGGUGGCGAAGGCGGCCCCCUGGACAAAGACUGACGCUCAGGUGCGAAAGCGUGGGGAGCAAACAGGAUUAGAAACCCCAGUAGUCC